AUGAACGUCCCGGUGGGCUUCCUCGCCAAGCUCUGGAGCCUCGCAUCAUUCCUGCCAUUCUUCGUCCUCCUCCUGCUGCUCGGCUCCGCCAAAGCUCUUCUGAUCGGCCCGGUCGCCGCGGCCAUCGUUUUCCUCGGCGAUUCAGCCGUCAUCGUCGGCCUGUGGCCUGCACACUUCGUCUGGACCUACUGCUGCGUGCUAGCCACGAAGCGAAUUGGGCCGGUUCUGAAGAUCCUUGCCGUGGUAUUCCUGCCACUGCCAUUGCUCCUAUUGCCGGUGCUUGGCAUUGUAGGGAGCCUUCUGGUUGGUAUCGGUUAUGGAGUUUUCACUCCCCUCAUGGCGACUUUUGAGGCUGUUGGCGAGGGCGUCGCGGACAAGCUCUCUCAUUGCUUUUUGGAUGGUACUGCUAGCACAAUAAGGGGAGCUUGUAUGGUGGUGCGUGAUGUUACCGACUUCUGCUUCCACUCAUACUUCUCCUUCAUGGACGAGCUUUCCGAGAAAAUGGGGGAUGACGAAGCACCUAUUGACAUCAAGUUGUCUUAUCUACCGCGGAGCUUCCUCGUUGCGCUGGUUGCCGUUCCUCUGGAUGUAUUGAUGAUUACUGGGGUGGCAUUGUGGAAAAGCCCCUGCAUGUUGUUGAAAGGAUGGCAAAGACUCUGCGAGGAUCUAGUUGGGAGGGAAGGGCCUUUUCUAGAGACUGUUUGUGUCCCUUUCGCUGGUUUGGCCAUUAUAUUGUGGCCGCUUGCUGUCGUUGCAGGAGUGAUUGCAUCAUUCCUUAGCAGCUUCUUCUUUGGCCUCCAUGCUGGAUUGGUUGCUUAUCAGGAGGCUUCAUUUCAAAUGGGGCUAUCAUACAUGAUCUCUGCAGUAGCAUUGUAUGAUGAAUACACAAAUGAUCUUCUUUAUUUGAGAGAAGGUUCUUGUUUGCCAAGGCCCAAGUACCGGAAAGCGGGUUCUGCGAAGUAUGAGACCGGCCGCGACAAAGAUGAGCACAACGUUACAGCUGCAUCUGCAGAGAAGCAACAUCAAGGCCAGCGUAAGCAUAGGAGGGUUCUACACCGGUCAAAGACAUUCAUGGAAACUAUCCAACGACUAAGACCCAUUCAAAUAUGGGAUUGGCUCUUCCGAUCUUGCGAGAUAAAUGGGAGGAUAUUACUGAGCGAGGGACUGAUAAGUUCUGAAGAUAUAGAGGAAUUUAUAGCCAAAGGAAAGGGAAAGAAGCUGAGCAUAAAACUACCUGCCUGGUGCAUCCUUCACUGUCUGAUACGAUCCGCGAAACACGACACGCAUGGUUUGCUCAUAUCUGAUGACGUUGAGGUGACCAACUUCAAUUGGCCAAAGGACAAGGUGUUCGACUGGAUGCUUGGACCGCUGCUGGUUCUGAAGGAGCAGAUGAAGAAACUGGAGCUCACCGAAGACGAGGAGCUGUGCUUGCAGAAGCUCAUCAUGACGAACGCGAACGAAAAACCGUCGGAUUGGGAGGACUGCGGUUUCCCGUCAAGCGACGGCGUGAAGAGAGCUCAGCUACAGGCGAUCAUCAGAAGGUUGCAAGGGAUCGUGGCCAAUAUGUCCCGGAUACCGAGCUUCAGGAGACGGUUCAUGAGCCUGGCCAGGGCACUGUACCUGGAGGCGAUCGACGCGGGCACCAUCGACGGGUCGCGGAAGGUGGAGCGCAAGGUUAAGGCUGACAUCGCCUCCGAGGAACUUCAGAGCAGAGAUGUCGGAGAUACGAAGGGUUCAUCGAAUGGGACGUCUGUGGACGUUGACAUGGUCUGA
rnacentral:rRNA from 1 species